UAAUUCUAAAAAAGUGCUCUAUAGUGGAUACUCCACAAUAGUUAACUACUAGUAAAAGGCUUAAAUUAUUUCUCAAAAGAAAAAAAAAAAGAAAAAAAAAGGCUUAAAAUUAGUUAUCUUUAUGAUUAAUUAUGAUAAUGAUUUAUGAAUAAUAAUAAAAACUGCAUAUUUAUAUUAACAAAUUAUUCUCUCGAGCUUAUGGUUUAUUUCCUAAAUUUUGAGAAUUAAGUUAAUAUAAAUAAGGGUAAAUUACAACCACCUCCUUGAGGUAAAGUUAAUUUACGAAUAAAAUCCUUAUUUGUUAUAAAUUACAUAAAUACCCCUAAAGUUUGGAAAUUUCUUACAUCCACCCCAUACAAAAGGGUGUUAAUGUAAUAAAUUUACAAAUUUCAAGGGAUAGACGUAAUUAUGAAAACAUAAGGGGGUUGUUUCGUAAAUAUACCUUACCUCAGGGGCGGUUAAUUUACCAUAUAAAUAAACAUAAAUACGAAAAUUUCAGAUUCUCCGUGACCUAAUUUUUUCAAUCGGGUGACCUAAAAAUUUGAAUCCGAUUUCAAUUCUGUUCAGAAUACCCCAAUUUAGGAACCGGAUAAUCUGUUGCCGCAUUGAUUCACGAAGCCUGUGUAGAUGGAGAUGAACAAGCAUAAGGCCGACCCAGAUACACAAAACCAUGGAAAACGAAAGAGGAGACAGGCGGGAAUCGAUACUCUCGGUAUGGAUACUAAUGCGAUUGAUAAAUUGCCUGAGGAUUUACUUAUUGCGAUUGUCUGUGGAUGUUUACACAUGGGGUACUGGAAUUCGAUGACAGGGGUAUUAGUGCCAAUAGAACUAAAAUGAAAAUGUACAAGUUUGACGCCUUGGUGAAUUGUGUUCUCGAGUCGCAUCAGGGUACGAGUGUUGAUAGUAUGAUUGUUCGUUUUUGUUAUAAGACAAAUAUUUGUUCAUCUAGCAUUAGUAAAUGGGUUCUUUUUGCUAUGCAUAAGCAAGUAAAGAGAUUCGAUUUGGAUU